rnacentral:rRNA from 1 species
UACGGGGGGAGCAAACGUUGUUCGGAAUUACUGGGCGUAAAGGGCGCGUAGGCGGCCUUCUAAGUCGAACGUGAAAUCCCCGGGCUCAACCCGGGAACUGCGUCCGAUACUGGAAGGCUUGAAUCCGGGAGAGGGAUGCGGAAUUCCAGGUGUAGCGGUGAAAUGCGUAGAUAUCUGGAGGAACACCGGUGGCGAAGGCGGCAUCCUGGACCGGCAUUGACGCUGAGGCGCGAAAGCCAGGGGAGCAAACGGG